CCUACGGGAGGCAGCAGUGGGGGAUAUUGGACAAUGGGGGGAACCCUGAUCCAGCGACGCCGCGUGAGUGAAGAAGUAUUUCGGUAUGUAAAGCUCUGUCAGCAGGGAAGAAAGAAAUGACGGUACCUGCCCAAGAAGCCCCGGCUAACUACGUGCCAGCAGCCGCGGUAAUACGUAGGGGGCAAGCGUUAUCCGGAGUUACUGGGGGUAAAGGGAGCGUAGACGGUUAAGUAAGUCUGGAGUGAAAGGCCGGGGCACAACCCCGGGACUGCGAUGGAAACUAUUGAACUUGAGUGCAGGAGAGGUAAGCGGAAUUCCUAGUGUAGCGGUGAAAUGCGUAGAUAUUAGGAGGAACACCAGUGGCGAAGGCGGCUUACUGGACUGUAACUGACGUUGAGGCUCGAAAGCGGGGGGAGCAAACAGGAUUAGAUACCCCAGUAGUC
rnacentral:rRNA from 1 species